GGCGUACGAGGACGAACGCUGGCGGCGUAGCCUAACACAUGCAAGUCGAACGGAGCUAGAUGCUGAGGACGUAGCUUGUCUAUUGAAUCUGUUUAGCUUAGUGGCGGACGGGUGAGUAACGCGUGAGCAACCUACCUUUCGAGAGGGGGAUAAACGUUUGGAAACGAACGCUAAUACCGCAUGAUAUUAUUGGGCAGCAUUGCCUGAUAAUCAAAGGAGCAAUCCGCUGAAAGAUGGGCUCGCGUCCGAUUAGGUAGUUGGCGGGGUAACGGCCCACCAAGCCGACGAUCGGUAGCCGGACUGAGAGGUUGAACGGCCACAUUGGGACUGAGACACGGCCCAGACUCCUACGGGAGGCAGCAGUGAGGGAUAUUGGUCAAUGGGGGAAACCCUGAACCCAGCAACGCCGCGUGAGGGAAGACGGUUUUCGGAUUGUAAACCUCUGUCCUCUGUGAAGAUGAUGACGGUAGCAGAGGAGGAAGCUCCGGCUAACUACGUG
rnacentral:rRNA from 1 species